UUUAUGGAGAGUUUGAUCCUGGCUCAGGAUGAACGCUGGCGGCGUGCCUAAUACAUGCAAGUCGAGCGAACAGAUAAGGAGCUUGCUCCUUUGACGUUAGCGGCGGACGGGUGAGUAACACGUGGGUAACCUACCUAUAAGACUGGGAUAACUUCGGGAAACCGGAGCUAAUACCGGAUAACAUUUGGAACCGCAUGGUUCUAAAGUGAAAGAUGGUUUUGCUAUCACUUAUAGAUGGACCCGCGCCGUAUUAGCUAGUUGGUAAGGUAACGGCUUACCAAGGCAACGAUACGUAGCCGACCUGAGAGGGUGAUCGGCCACACUGGAACUGAGACACGGUCCAGACUCCUACGGGAGGCAGC
rnacentral:rRNA from 1 species